GACGUAGGGCGCGAGCGUUUGUCCGGAUUUAUUGGGCGUAAAGAGCUCGUAGGCGGCUUGUUGCGUCGACCGUGAAAACCCGUGGCUCAACUGCGGGCUUGCGGUCGAUACGGGCAGGCUAGAGUUCGGUAGGGGAGAUUGGAAUUCCUGGUGUAGCGGUGGAAUGCGCAGAUAUCAGGAGGAACACCGAUGGCGAAGGCAGAUCUCUGGGCCGUAACUGACGCUGAGGAGCGAAAGCAUGGGGGAGCGAACAGG
rnacentral:rRNA from 1 species